rnacentral:rRNA from 1 species
AUAUCAAUAAGCGGAGGAAAAGAAACUAACAAGGAUUCCCCUAGUAACGGCGAGCGAACCGGGAAGAGCUCAAAUUUAAAAUCUGGCGUCCUUUGGGCGUCCGAGUUGUAAUCUAUAGAGGCGUUUUCUGUGCUGGACCGUGUCCAAGUUCCUUGGAACAGGAUAUCAAAGAGGGUGACAAUCCCGUAUUUGACGCGAUCACCAGUGCUCUAUGAUACGCUCUCGACGAGUCGAGUUGUUUGGGAAUGCAGCUCUAAAUGGGUGGUAAAUUCCAUCUAAAGCUAAAUAUUGGCGAGAGACCGAUAGCGCACAAGUA